rnacentral:rRNA from 1 species
UGGGGAAUAUUGGACAAUGGGCGCAAGCCUGAUCCAGCAAUGCCGCGUGGGUGAAGAAGGUCUUCGGAUUGUAAAGCCCUUUCGACGGGGACGAUGAUGACGGUACCCGUAGAAGAAGCCCCGGCUAACUUCGUGCCAGCAGCCGCGGUAAUACGAAGGGGGCUAGCGUUGCUCGGAAUUACUGGGCGUAAAGGGCGCGUAGGCGGCCGAUCAAGUCAGGCGUGAAAUUCCCGGGCUCAACCUGGGGGCUGCGCUUGAGACUGGUUGGCUAGAGGCCGAGAGAGGGUGGUGGAAUUCCCAGUGUAGAGGUGAAAUUCGUAGAUAUUGGGAAGAACACCGGUGGCGAAGGCGGCCACCUGGCUCGGUACUGACGCUGAGGCGCGACAGCGUGGGGAGCAAACA